AUUGAACGCUGGCGGAAGGACUAACACAUGCAAGUCGAACGAGUGGCGGACGGGUGAGUGAUGUCUGGGAAACUGCAUGAUGGCGGGGGAUAACUACUGUAAACGGUAGCUAAUACCGCAUACCAUCGGAUGUGCCCAGAUGGGAUUAGCUAUGAGGUGGGGUAAAGUACCACCUAGGCGACGAUCCCUAGCUGGUUGGAGAGGAUGACCAGCCACACUGGAACUGAGACACGGUCCAGACUCCUACGGGAGGCGGAAGUGGGGAAUAUUGCACAAUGGGGGCAAGCCUGAUGCAGCAAUGCCGCGUGUAUGAAGAAGGCCUUCGGGUUGUAAAGUACUUUCAGCGGGGAGGCGUUACCCGCAGAAGAAGCACCGGCUAACUCCGUGCCAGCAGCCGCGGUAAUAC
rnacentral:rRNA from 1 species